GACGAACGCUGGCGGCGUGCUUAACACAUGCAAGUCGAGCGGAGCGGCGAACGGGCGAGUAACGCGUGAGUAACUGCCCCCCUCUCUGGGUUAACAGUUGGAAACGGCUGCUAAUACCGGAUAGUGGGGGAUGACUCGCGUCCUAUCAGCUUGUUGGUGGGGUAGUGGCCUACGAAGGCGACGACGGGUAGCCGGCAUGAGAGGGCGACCGGCCAAAUUGGGCUGAGAUACGGCCCCAACGCCUACGGGGGGCAGCAGUGGGGAAUGUUGCACAAUGGGGGAGACCCUGAUGCAGCAAGGCACGUGCGGGAGGACGGCAUUCGGGUUGUAAACCGCUUUAAGCCAUGACGCGGUAGUGGCAGAAGAAGCACCGGCUAACUACGUGCCAGCAGCCGCGGUAAUAC
rnacentral:rRNA from 1 species